UACGGGAGGCAGCAGUGGGGAAUAUUGCACAAUGGGCGAAAGCCUGAUGCAGCUAUGCCGCGUGUAUGAAGAAGGCCUUAGGGUUGUAAAGUACUUUCAUCGGGGAGGAAAAAACAAAACUAAUAAUUUUAUUUCUUGACGUUACCCGAAAAAGAAGCACCGGCUAACUCCGUGCCAGCAGCCGCGGUAAUACGGAGGGUGCUAGCGUUAAUCAGAAUUACUGGGCGUAAAGAGCACGUAGGUGGUUUUUUAAGUCAGAUGUGAAAUCCCUGGGCUUAACCUAGGAACUGCAUUUUGAAACUGAAAUACUAGAGUAUCGUAGAGGGAGGUAGAAUUCUAGGUGUAGCGGUGAAAUGCGUAGAUAUCUGGAGGAAUACCUGUGGCGAAAGCGGCCUCCUAAACGAAUACUGACACUGAGGGUGCGAAAAGCGUGGGGAGCAAACAGGGAUUAGAUACC
rnacentral:rRNA from 1 species